UUUCAGUUGAUAGAGAACGAGAUGAACUGCAGCCUCUGGUGCCUGUACUCCUUAAGCACUGCUGCCUGGGACCACGCAUACUCGGGAGGUCACUACCUUAGCUGAACUCUGCAGGAGGAGGCAGAGGCUUCAUCCAUCCGGGAGCAACGGGAGAGCUAACACUGUUUAGCAGCAGAGCACGAGCUGCCUCAAUUGCAGGCUGAGGGAGUAAGGAGUCAAGGCUGGAAACAUCCUUCUGAGAAAUGCUGGCAGAGGCAAAGAGAAACCUGGAGAUUCUUCUGCAUCACUGAUGGGUUCCAAGGCUGCAGCAGAAUUUUCUAUCCCCUCCCUCCUACUCUCAUCUCUAAAGCUGCUAACGUGUGAAGCCUGGGACCUCAUGAUCCAAUGGCGGAUAACGAAGAGGGAGCACCACAAGCAGUAGGACUCUUACUACAAUCUGCAUGUCCACGCGCUGGGCAGCCUUUUCCUGAGAUUCCUGGCCGGAUGGUGGGUGGAAUUACAGCCUGAGGCCACUUCUC